ACGGCUCAGUAACACGUAGCUAACCUGCCCUCACGCCGGUGAUACCCUCGGGAAACUGAGGUUAAGCACCGAUAGAUGAAAUGUUCUGGAAUGAUAUUUCGUUCAAAGAUGUUGUGAGGAUGGGGCUGCGGCUGAUUAGGUAGUUGGCGGGGUAAUAGCCCACCAAGCCGAUGAUCAGUAAGGGCUCUUAGCGGAGAAGCCCUGAGAGGGAAUCUGAGACACUAUUCCCAGCCCUACGGGGUGCAGCAGUCGGGAAACUUCUGCAAUGCGCGCAAGCGUGACAGAGCAAGCCAACGUGUUUUUCGAUUUUAUUUGAAAAUCUUUUGUGAGCUGUAAAAAGGCUUACGAAUAAGGACUGGGAGAGACUGGUGCCAGCCGCCGCGGUAAUCCCAGCAGUCCAAGUCGCAACCACAUUUGUUGGGUCUAAAACAUCCGUAGCUCGCCUCGUAAGUCUGUCGUGAAAUCCUACCUCUUAAGGGUAGAAGUGCGAUAGGUACUGCGGGGCUAGGGACCGGGAGACGUAACGAGUACGCAUAGAGUACCGGUAAAAUGGGUUGAUCCUAUGUGGACUAACAACAGCGAAGGCACGUUACGAGCACGGAUCCGACAGUGAGGGAUGAAGGCUAGGGGCGCAAAGUGGAUUAGAUACCCAUGUAGUCCUAGCAGUAAACACUGCACACUGAACAUUGGGGCCUCUUCGAGAGGUCUCAGUGCUGUAGGGAAGCCGGAGAGUGUGCUACCUGGGAAGUAUAGUCGCAAGGCCGAAACUUAAAGGAAUUGGCGGGGGAGCAC
rnacentral:rRNA from 1 species